GAUGAACGCUGGCGGCGUGCCUAAUACAUGCAAGUCGAGCGAACGGACGAGAAGCUUGCUUCUCUGAUGUUAGCGGCGGACGGGUGAGUAACACGUGGAUAACCUACCUAUAAGACUGGGAUAACUUCGGGAAACCGGAGCUAAUACCGGAUAAUAUUUUGAACCGCAUGGUUCAAAAGUGAAAGACGGUCUUGCUGUCACUUAUAGAUGGAUCCGCGCUGCAUUAGCUAGUUGGUAAGGUAACGGCUUACCAAGGCAACGAUGCAUAGCCGACCUGAGAGGGUGAUCGGCCACACUGGAGCUGAGACACGGUCCAGACGCCUACGGGAGGCAGCAGUAGGGAAUCUUCCGCAAUGGGCGAAAGCCUGACGGAGCAACGCCGCGUGAGUGAUGAAGGUCUUCGGAUCGUAAAACUCUGUUAUUAGGGAAGAACAUAUGUGUAAGUAACUGUGCACAGCUUGACGGUACCUAAUCAGAAAGCCACGGCUAACUACGUG
rnacentral:rRNA from 1 species